AGAGUUUGAUCCUGGCUCAGAAUAAACGCUGGCGGCGUGCCUAACACAUGCAAGUCGAGCGAGAAAGCUCCUUCGGGAGUGAGUACAGCGGCGCACGGGUGAGUAACGCGUGAGAAUCUGCCCUUCAGUGAAGAAUACCCUCGAGAAAUCGAGGCUAAUACUGCAUACGUCUCUACGGAGAGAAAGAUGGCCUCUUUGCUGUCGCUGAAGGAUGAGCUUGCGUACUAUUAGCUAGUUGGUAGGGUAAUGGCCUACCAAGGCGAUGAUGGUUAGCCGGCCUGAGAGGGUGUACGGCCACAUUGGAACUGAGACACGGUCCAGACCCCUACGGGAGGCAGCAGUGAGGAAUAUUGCACAAUGGGCGAAAGCCUGAUGCAGCGACGCCGCGUGGAGGAUGAAGGUUUUCGGAUCGUAAACUCCUGUUAAGUGGGAAGAAAUGCCUAUUUCUAAUACAGAUAGGUAAUGACGGUACCACUAGAGAAAGCACCGGCUAACUUCGUGCCAGCAGCCGCGGUAAUACGAGGGGUGCAAGCGUUAUUCGGAAUAAUUGGGCGUAAAGGGUGCGUAGACGGCAUAUUAAGUCAACUGUUAAAUUUCUCGGCCUAACCGAGAACCUGCAGAUGAUACUGAUAAGCUAGAGGAUGAAAGAGAGAAGUGGAAUUCUCGGAGUAGCGGUAAAAUGCGUAGAUCUCGAGAGGAACACCAAUGGCGAAAGCAGCUUCUUUGUUCAUUCCUGACGUUGAGGCACGAAAGCGUGGGGAGCAAACAGGAUUAGAUACCCUGGUAGUCCACGCCGUAAACGAUGAUCACUAGGUGUCAGCCGUGUUUACAUGGUUGGUGCCGUAGCUAACGCGUUAAGUGAUCCGCCUGGGGAUUACGGUCGCAAGACUAAAACUCAAAGGAAUUGACGGGGGCCCGCACAAGCGGUGGAACAUGUGGUUUAAUUCGACACUACGCGAGGAACCUUACCUAGGCUUGACAUGUUUUUGACAGCUGCAGAAACGCAGUCUUCUAAGCUUCGGUUUAGACAAUUACACAGGUGCUGCAUGGCUGUCGUCAGCUCGUGUCGUGAGAUGUUGGGCUAAGUCCUCUAACGAGCGCAACCCUUGCUGUCAGUUGCUAAUUGCUUCGGCAAAGCACUCUGACGGGACUGCCUGGGAAACCAGGAGGAAGGUGGGGACGACGUCAAGUCAUCAUGGUCCUUAUGCCUAGGGCUACACACGUGUUACAAUGGUUGGUACAAAAGGUCGCAAAACCGUAAGGUCAAGCUAAUCCCAAAAACCAAUCUAAGUUCGGAUUGAGGUCUGCAACUCGACCUCAUGAAGUUGAAAUCGCUAGUAAUCGCAUAUCAGCAACGAUGCGGUGAAUACGUUCUCGGGCCUUGUACACACCGCCCGUCACACCAUGAGAGCUGUCUGUACCCGAAACUGUCUUAGCUAACCCGUAGGGGAUGCGGACAACUAAGGUAUGGGGAGUGAUUGGGGUGAAGUCGUAACAAGGUA
rnacentral:rRNA from 1 species